GUAGAUCGCCAAUAUGCUAUACAAAUCUUUUUUUGCUUGAUAUGUGGAUGGACCAAGAGAAUUAAUAUGGGCUAUAUUACUGGUAGCCCAAGAUCUUUAAUUUAAAAGGGCAAAUCUCUUAAAAAUUUAAAUCUCUAUUUUCUUAUUACAUAGCCAUCAAAUUUUUUUUAAUAUAGUGUCAAACGAGAUUCUCCCUUCACAUGUGGAAUUAUUGUUGGUAUAAUAUUAUUGUCAUCAAAAUAAUGUCAAAAAUCUACACUUGUUCGUAUUCCAUCAAACUCCUGUGUAAUUUACAGCGAGAGAACAAUAAGAUCUUGUUCUCCAAAAUGAGCAAAAAAGAAGAAGCGAAAUUAAUAACAAAAAUAAAUAUUGCUCUUGCGCAAAUAUGUUUAUGGACAAAUGACAAAAUGACCCUGGCCAUACGUAUCCUCGCCUUCAUGCAUAAGCUUCACCCUGUUGUGACAAGGUGACGGAUCUGAAGGUGGCACCGGCCCUCUUGGCAGCUCAUUCUGAAUUGUGUUGUAGAACCCCAUCUCUUUUACUCUCAUCGAUCGUCCCGUCGAUAUAAUCGCUGCAAAUAUCGUAAAUAUAAGGAGUACCACCCUGAAAUGUUUGGUAUCGAACCGCAUGAUUUUGUAUAGUCGAGUGAUCCACCGUGGAGAUGGAAUUACGUGUGAUGGUAUUGAGGCAUGAAAGACGGUGUCACGGACACGGUACAAGAAAAGCGGUUAAAUUCGACCGAAAAUAAGGUAUGAAGAAUUAUGUAAAGAGGAAGCGAGGGAGCUAGCUAGGAGGCAAUACUUGACAAUAUUGGUGUUUAUGUUUAUAUGGUGCUCUAGAUUGCUCGAAUACAAUUGAUUCAAUCUGUGACUCAUAGAGUUUGUACGCAAUGGCCUUUUUAAGAGAUUGAAAUUUAACAAAUCCUAUUAGCAGACAAUUUAGAAAUUAUAAAGGAGUUUCUGGCAUUCAACAUGCGUGUGGGCUCUUUUCAUUAUUUAUUCCUAAUUUUUGAGAACUUUUGUCGUGAUUCGUUUGUUAUGCGUUGUUUAUUAUUUUAUUAUUUGUUUAAUAAUCAUGAUGGCAUAUAAUUUAGUUUUUUAAAUGGGAAAAGUUGACACGUGUACCUUCAAAACCUUGAAUUCCAUGUCUG
rnacentral:lncRNA from 1 species